UAAGAUCGGGACUAGACGACGGCCAGUA
rnacentral:piRNA from 1 species